GGGGGAGUACCUGCCAUUCCAGGCACUCCCCCCUUCUGGCAAUGCUGAGGAUGGCUAUGCCGUCCAUGUGAUUGUGAGGUCCUCACAAGGACCUCACAAUCACAUGGCCCAGGAGCACUGGAAUGGCAGCAGGGGACUCCCUGGGAUGCCAGCGUGGGAUUGCCAGCGACCGGGUAAGUACAUAGGACGGCGGGGACGUGCUAUGGCGCCUGCCGGCAUUUAGAGCCGGUCCCCAAGGACGGCAUAGCACACCUGCCGUCCUUAAGGGGUUAAAUAUGUAUGUAUGUAUAUUAAUAUCAAAAUACAGUUAGAACAUUUAGAAUUUUUUUUUAUUUAUUCAUGGUUUUGUACUUGAUUCGUUGGUCUUGUUUCCAGUACUGUAGUCUGGAGUGGGAAAGUAUGACAUCACUUUGUAACAUAAGCAUGAAGUUUGAUAUGGUAACCUUUUGACAGAACAGAGUUGCUUGGUAUCAUAGUACAGUUCCGGUUGUGUGUUUUUUUUUUGUUUUUUAUAUAUAAGUAACUUUUGUAAUACUGGUAAAAACAUUGACAUUUACGGGAUAUAUUUAUUUCUACAAACACCUUGGUCUUGUUUUCAUGUCGUAACCUUGCAGGGUUGUGGGCCGGUUUGUGUAUCCUUAGAGUGAGUGAGUCGUUGGACGUUGUGGCACUGUGUGUUAUGUCCUAUCUAAUUUUGGUGUUGCAGUGCCAGAGAGUGGCCUGUGAAGGUGUAGGCUAAGUGUUUGCUAGGUCGGUUGCUUUGCCCCGCAAGAUUGUCAGGUCUGGAGGCCAGGUUCAGGUGUGGUCAAGGUAGAUGGUUGUACCAUUUGUUCAUAGGUAGUCUAAGGAAUAUACAAUUCAGGAUUACAAAUUGAUCCAGCACGCAGAACUGUGUCACACCUAGGACUCGGGGUAAUGUAUAACUGAACCUUAGAAUGGCCAGACUUAACAUAUCCAAGAAUAGUCAAUAUACUUGCCGAGGUCAGGAACACAGACUCAGACACAAUGAUGAGGGAAAGCAAAAAGUCAAGGAUACCAGUAUUCAGGGAAGUCAAAACGAAGCCAAAGUCAAAUACCAGAAAAUCAAGAUCCUGAACACACUCUCGGAUUACCAUCAGGGCAAUGAGUAAAAGGAGAAUUGGGUUUAAAUACCCCUCCUGUGGAUCUGAUUGGCCCUGACCGUCCUUUGACCCCAAAAGCAAUUACCAGGUUUCCAUGUGCAUGAUUGCUGCUCAGCACAAACCCUCCUGUGGAUCUGAUUGGCCAUGACCGGCCUUUGACCCCAAAAGCAAUUACCAGGUUUCCAUGUGCAUGAUUGCUGCUUGGCACAACUUUUCCUGUCAGGACGGUAAAUGCCAUUAACCACAUUAUGUGUGGAUGAAUACAUAGGUGGUGUUGGGUAGGUGUCUUCUUCGAGUUGAGGGGGGGGUGUGUGUGUGGUUAGCUCUGUGAGGGUUUAUUGCUUGUAUUGUGUGUGUCAUGGGUGGGUUGUUUAGUUAGUAGUUCGAACAGGAGAGGAAGGGUAAGGGGGGUGAGGUGGACAGGAGGAAGGUCCAGGCAUGUGGGGUGCGUGCGUGGUGGCAUGGGUAGGUGGGUUCUCAGUCUCCGUCCCGUCUCACCUUCCCCAGGGCAGGUCUAGCAUUCUAAUUUGUUGGGGUUGUGUUUUCAUUGGGUGGUGAGGAUGCCGGUACGGAGUUGGUGGUUUUGCUGCGGUUCGUUGGUUCAAGUGUUGCGUAGUCAGUGGUUUCAUUGCUGGAUACAUCUGGGACGUGCGUCCCCCCCAGGCCACUCCAUUUGUUCUGAGCCUCUUGUGUUAGUAUCUGAGGAUAGCCACUAGAGCCAGAGGAACCAUGCAUCGUGGUAGUUCCAUGAGUGCCCUGCCGCAGACAGGAUUAGCUCUUCUAUACGUCUUAUGUCUACCACCCUGUUCAUCCAUUCACUUAGUGUCGGGGCUGUUUUUUGUUUCCAGUGUCCUGGAAUAAGGCUGCGAGCCAUGUUCAGUAGGUGCAGUAUAGCUGUUUUGUUGAGUCUGCACGUUGGUAGUGUGUUUAGUUGAAGUAGGUAUGUUUCUGGUGUGAGUUGAAUGUUUAUGUCAGUUAUGGAUGUUAGGACCUUAUGUAUUGCUUCCCAGAAAGGCUUGAUGAGUGAGCAUGUCCACCAUAUAUGGUAGAGUGAGCCUAGUUCUUUUCCGCACCUCCAGCAUUCCGGGGCGCAGUUGGUCUUCAAAGCGGUUGGGUUUUACAGCGUCAUGUACCAGUGUGGGACCAUUUUGUAUCCCAUUUCAUGGAAUUUGGUGCAUAUAGAGGUUUUGUGUAGUAGUGUGAACACCGUGGUCCAUUGGGCUUUUGAGAGUGGGUGUCCUAGGUCCUUCUCCCAGUAUUUAGUGAAGUAGGGGGGGGGGGGUCGUUUCAGGGCUUGGGGUGUUCAGUAAGCUGUAUAGCAGCAAGACGCGUGCGGUGGUGAAGAGGGGUCUGGCGCAUAUGUUCUCAAAAGUGGUGAGUGCUUUCGAGGCUGAAUCCAGGAUGGGAAUGCUCCUCAGGAAGCUUGUCAGUUGGUGGUGUCUUAGGCGGAGAGACAGGUUGUGUGAGACCACUUUCAUCAGAGGAGUGAUCCUGCCUUGGUUAUAUAUGUCUUUCAGUCUGCACGGGUGUGGGAGUCCCAGGGCUGCAGUGUACUGGGCGGAUGUUGCUGGGCUGAAUUGUAAAUUGUGCAAAAUGGGGCACAGUGGUGUCAGUGUUGGAGCUAUGUCUUUAUGUGUUGAUAAGCUCCUCCAGACUACCAUAGUCAUGUGUAAGGUUGGGUGUUUGUUCGGUAGUUUCUCGGCCAUGUCUUUCAGCAGCCAUGGGAGCAGUGGUAAUGGUGUCUGUGGGAAGCUUGCCUCUAUCAAGAUCCAGGUUUCAUCCUUCGGUGUGUGCGUCCAUUCUAUUAUUUUUCUGAGGCGUACGGCUUGUCGCUAUUUGGUUAGGUCUGAGAGUCCCAGUCCCCCAUGUUCCUUGGGCUUUAUAAGGGUUGCGUAGUUUAGUCUCGCCUGUCGGCGGUGCCAGAUUUAUUAUGUGAACGUUGUGCGUAUCUGUGAGAGGAAUGUUUUAGGUAUGUGGAUCGGUAGUGUUUGCAGGAGGUACACGAGACUCGGGAGCACGUAAUUCUUAAGUACGCAUAUUCUUCCGAGCCACGUUAUGUGGGGUAGCGUCCAUGAUCUUAGGUCUUUUUGAAUUGUGUCAAAGAGGGGGUGGGGGAGUUGAUGCGGUAGGUGUCUGACAGUUCCGCUGAGAGCCAGAAUCCUAAAUAUUUGAUUGCCUUCUCGCACCAUUGGAAGGGUAGCUCGGCUUUCAGUGAGGUUUCCAGCGAUCGGGGGCACCCCACAUUGAGGAUUUCAGAUUUUGAGAAAUUGAUUUAAAGGUUGGACAGUAGUCUGUUUGUGUCGAAUUGAUGUAUAAGCUCUUUUAGAGAUGGUUCUGGAUUUGUGAUAGUGAACAGGUCAUCCGCAUAUGUAGAGAUUUUGCUCUCACCCCAUUUUCCAUUUAUCCUUUCUAUUCGAGGUUGUGCUCGUAUGGCGUUAAUGAACGGCUCCAGGCUGAUCACAAAAAGACAUUAUGUUACAGCCUUAUGUAAAAUUGUCCCGAUCCUAUCUUAAGGAUACUAUGGACCUACUUAAUAAAUUAGAAUCAAUAGAGUGGGAGGAUGAUUAUGUACUCAUAACUUGUGACGUACAAUCUCUAUACACUAUAAUUGAACAUACAAGGGGUUGUAAAGCUGUAAAAACUAUUCUAGAGAGACAAAAAAAGAUGAAAGAAGAACAGAUAAAUUUUAUAAUUGAAGGUAUCUUUUUAAUUCUAAAUAAUAAUUAUUUUUGGUUUAAAGACUCAUUUUAUUUACAAAAAAACGGUACAGCGAUGGGGACCAGGUUCGCGCCCAGCUAUGCCAACCUCUUCAUGACCGAGUGGGAAGAGAGAAUGGUGUGGAGCGGGCAUGGCUGGGUGGGGAGCCUGGUGGCCUAUUUCCGCUAUAUAGAUGAUCUCCUUUUUAUAUGGAAAGGUCCAAUCUCUACAGCAAAACUUUUUUUAGACUUUUUAAAUACAAACAAUGAUUGUAUAGUUUUAAAAGCAGAUUUUAGUCAGACCCACGUCACUUUUUUAGAUUUGGAUAUUUAUAUUAAAGAUAAGAGAUUAAAUACAAAAACUAAUUUUAAACCGGUUCAUGUUAAUAAUUUUAUUGGAACAGAUAGCUGUCAUUAUAGGAGCUGGCUUGACAGCAUCCCUAAAAGCCAAUUCCUUAGAUUGAAGAGAAAUUGCUCCGAUGUUAAUACUUUUAAAACUCAGGCGAACAUGAUGAAGAAUAAGUUUAUUGAAAAAGGUUACGAUAAAGAGAAAAUAGAUAAAACUAUAGAAAAUAUUACAAACACAGAUAGAAAGGAUCUUCUAACCCAAAAUAAGGGUUCAAAAAAUACUAAGAAUAAUGGGAAAGAGUUUGUAUUGCCUAUUGUCUUAGAUUAUAAUAAUAAAAAUAAACAAAUAAAAAAAGUAAUUAGGAAUAACUGGCAUUUAUUGAAAGAUCCUGUAUUAGGAAAAGUUAUUCCAGACCAGCCAAAAAUUGUAUUUAGAGGAGCUCCAAAUUUGAGAAUGCAACUCACACAAAAUUAUACAAAACAGAAAAAGUCAGAAGUUAUAAAUAAUUUUAUGAAAAACAAGAAUGGAUUUUUUAGAUGCAAUUGCUGCGUAGCGUGCAAAAAACCAAAAAAAAUGGACCGAUAUAUCCAUAGUUUUAAAUCAAAUAAUACAGAUAAAAGUUACAGUAUUAAAAACACAAUUACAUGCAUGAGUAAAAACGUGAUAUAUUUAUUAGAAUGUCCAUGCGGACUGCAAUAUAUAGGGAGAACUAUAAGACCGCUGAAGGUCAGGAUUGGGGAACAUUGUAGAAACAUAGAAAAAGGGCUAAAAACCCACUUGGUAUCCUCACAUUUUGAGUUACAUGGUAAUGAUCCACAGCACUUAAAAUUUAUGGGCAUUUCAAAAUUGUCCCAACACUGGAGAGGUGGUGAUAUAAUUAAUAAAUUAGGCAAGAAAGAAAUGGAGUGGGUCUAUUUUUUAGACACACUACACCCUAAAGGUCUUAAUGCAGAGUUUGAUCUUUUUAAUUUUUUAUAAUAAAUAUUAAAAGAAAAAAUCUUUCACACCAGUUUUUAUAUACUUUGCAUAUUUAUAUACUAUUGUUAUUGCUUACACACCACCUCCCCUGUGUAUCACUUUAAGAUCUCCAUAUAUGUGCAUGGUUCACUUUGUGUAUAGCAUAUUUUUAUAAUAUUGGUUAUUUUUAUAGAUUUCUAUGCAUGCUUAUUUUCUGGUAUGCAACACCUGGUAUAAACCUAUAUAUUUUGUGUGUAUAGCUCUAUGAUGUCUUUAAAAAAAAAAAAAAAAGUGCUGGCUAUCUUUUGUAAUUAAACAUAUGUUUUAUUUGCUUUUAUUAUAUGUUUUUAUAUUUACAUUCUUUCUUUAAAUUUUAUCACCUUGUUAAUUACAUAAUUUACUUAUUUUAUUCUUAUAUGUAUUGUAUCCCAUAUCGGCAAUUUGCCGAACUACAAUUCCCAUGAACAAUACCAGAUCGUGAUACAUCACUUCCGGGUGACGAAACAGUGUUUAUAGAGAAAUGGACAAUGUAAACUACAUGUCCCAUCAACCAUUGGGAGAUACGCUGAUGUCACUUCCGGGAGCCGCACACAACAUGAAUGGAGG
rnacentral:lncRNA from 1 species